UUUUAGUUUAAAUAUUUCAACCCUUAAGAUAGAAAACAUGCAUAUGCAUGACAAAAAUGUAUUAAACAUGUUCUGAUUCUUAUCCUAGGUGAGCCAAUUUUGAAAAGUUAUCUGAACUCUAUUCCUUUCUAAAAAGAAGGAAAAUUUCUCACGACCUUCUUCGAAAAGAUCUUGAUGCCCAAAAGGCUGCAAAAAACCUCCAAGGAACCAAGAUCACAGACUUCUUAACUGCCAGAUAUGACCUUUACAUUGAUUACUGUUAUAUUUGACCAAAGUGGGGUAAUUGACACUGUUGAUUACAACUUCAGCUCUGUGUUGAAAGUCAACCCUUCUUUGACUUCUGCAUUGUUUCCUUCCUAUUUUCUGACUCUCCUGGUCACUCUUUAUUAUCUCUUAUCCAUCCUGUUUACAACUCCUCCAGCAUAAAGGACACGUGUCAUAACAGAGUAGAAUACCCUUUGUGGCUCCCCUAAUGGCUCCUGGUGCCUCAUCUCCCAUCUCUUUCUCUCAGACAUCCAAUCCUGUAGCCACACCAAAUUCCUUGCAGAUCACCUGGUUGGGCCAUUCCAUCUUUCCUGCCUAUGUUUAAACUGUUCCUUCUUUUCUGACUGCCAACCUAACAUAAUCAAACGGGUUAGAAUCCAGUUUAAAGACAGCUUAUUCAAGUGCAAAGGCUGAGGACUCUAGCCCGAGACACACUUCCAAGUUGUCCUGGGGAGUGCUCCAAAGAACAAAAGUUUUUAAAUAAAAAGAGGACAAAUCAGAA